UAGAGAAAGCCCGUGUGCAGCAACGAAGACCCAAUGCAGCCAAAAAUAAAUAAAUUAAUUAAUUAAAAAAAAAAAAACACACAGAGCUGUGUCAAUGCCAAGCCCAGAUCCUGGGAGACAGAGGUGCCUGUGUGUGACUAUCAGGCCCUCCGAGGUCGCAGCCCAGGGCGGCACCCGCCAGGCGGUGGAGGGGAUGCGGACUGUCCUAGGAACAGGAGGGUCCGGAACAGGUUCCUAAGUCUGCCUUAGAAAGAGUCUCAAGUUGAUUCCCAAGUUCAUUCAGAUCCACGGAACCAGAACUCCCUCGGCAAAGGCCCGAAACCUGUGCCUUCUGCAAGCGUCCCAGGUGAUCCAGCGCAAGUAACCGAAGGAGGCGGGGCCUGGGCGCGCACGCGCGGAGGGGCUGCAGGGAAUGGUGCCUGUGGAGCAACCCGGGAGGAGGAAAGGGGCCUGGAGGAGGCGGGGCCUGAGAACCUGUCCGAGGGCGGGGCGGGGCGGGCCUGCAGAGACAAAGAGGGGGAGGAGCCGGGCGGGAGCCGACCCGCUCACCGUGCGCCGGCUGGGGCGGCCCGAUUCGGGCUUUGGGCUUCGGCGGUGAGUCCGGCGCGGCGCCGCUCCGACCCCGCUGAACCGCGGAGCCCGGGAGCUGUAGCCUCGCCCCAGGCAGGCCGGGCGGAGUGGUGGUGGGUGGGCUUAUCCCGCUUGCCCGCGCGGCGCCCAUCCAGCUCCCCUGCUUUAUUAUGGAUUGACCCGCGCGCCCGGGUCCUCACGUCAACGCAGAGCGUCGGCGUCCCCGGGAGGCACCUGUCCCGGCUAGCCUCGUAGCUGACGCCGCGGAAGGGCCGGGGCUCGGUCCGGACCCCCCGGGCCCGCCGCCCUCCCCUGCCGGCUCUCCUCUCCGCAGCCCUCUGCCCUCGCCUCGGAGGGACCGGAAGCCGGCUUGGUGGGCAGCUCCCCGGCCGCCGGGCCCCAGGGACAUGGCUGUGCACUUCACGCAGGAAGGAGGGGCACGUCUGGACCCGGGGCAGAGGGCCCUGUAUAGAGACGUGAUGCUGGAGACUUAGAGCAACCUGGCCUCCCUGGGAGUUCCAGGAUCCAAACCAGAUCUGAUCUCCCAGCUGGAGCAAGGAAAGGAGCCCUGGGGCUCGGACCUGCUGGGGUCCCAGGAAGGAGAGACCGUGGGAGACCCCAGCACAGAUUCCAGCCGGGGGUCUUUGCGUAAGCAGGUGAUGGCGAGGGUGAAAACGACUCAAGCCUCAGAGCCUCCAGAAGCAUCUGGAAGGUUCUCAGGGGGUGGGCCUCCAACACUGGUCUGCAGAGAAGCCGCCGGGCACGAGGGCAGGCUAGGGAGCCUUGAGAACUUCCUUUUCCGGGAGAGACAACCACACAGAACCUACUGGGCCAUCUCCAAAGCAGAAGGUGCCCAGAAAGGCGGUAAAUGGGGACCCGAACUUCUCCGCAGCCCGCGCCCUGGGGCCCGUGAGAGAAACAUGAAACGGCAGCGAGCCCGCACGUGCGAAACGUGCGCCAAGAGCUUCCGGUACCUCUCGCGCCUGUGAGACACCGGGCCACGCACAGCGGCGAGAAGUCGCACGCGUGCGGGAGUGCGGCCGCGCGUUCAGCCAGCGCUCGCACCGGGCGCAGCGCCGCAGCGCGCACGCGGGCCAGAAGCCGCACACCUGCGGACAGUGCGGCCACGUGUCCACAGCGGCGAGAAGCCCUUCGGGUGCCAGUGGUGCGGGAAGCCCUUCAGUUACAGCACCCUCCUCGCCCAGCACCAGCGGAUCCACACCCGAGAGAGGCCGUUCCGGUGCGCGAGGUGCGGGAAGAGCUUCAUCUGGAAGUCCAGCUUUCGGAACCACCAGAAAUCACAUCGAGGCAGCGUGGACCUCUGUAAGCUAAGCUCUGGAAGCAGCCGCUGGAGGGGAGAGCUUGGGACUCGCUGCUACUCCAAGGAGCGCCCCGGAAGGAUGUCCCCGGGCACGUGGAGCAGUGCCAGAGCGAGAGCAGCACGAGGGACCGGAUUGUUCUCCACCCGCGAUCAGCCUGUGCAUUUCGGGUCCUUCCCACGACGGGGGUGGCCCAGGCCUGCCCGCCCCGGCGAGCGCCGCCCGGCAGCUGGAUUCCGCGUGGCUGUGGUACUUCUUGGGCAAGUUGAUGGUUUGAAAGUCGCUAUUUUCAAGUGCAUGCAGAUUUUAUUUUUGAAACUUAAAACGUAGGUCUUUGUCUCCAUUUGCAUCAUAGGUGGGUUCUAAACGCCUUUGAAAUCCUAGUUUUAGAGCUAUGUAAUAAUUGCAUUAUGUUGGAAUGGUUUGAGAGGAAGUUUUGAAAUUGCUUUUUGAGAAAAUGUGCUUAUGUGGAUAUCAGGUUUUCAAGGAGUGGAUUGUAAUGAACAGCUCUUGUUUCAGCCCAUCCCACAUCUAUCCCCUCCUUCUUUCUUUUUGUAAGAGCACCUCACCUUUGGUUUGCAGCACUUCCUAGGAUCUGUUGUAGGAAGUCACAGUGGUGGUCUCAGUCUGGGUGCACCUCCUCCUGUGGCCACUGGUCAACCCGGGAGGAAGCUAAGGCAAUCAGACCCUCCCCUCCAGUCCAUCACUGAAGGAAAAGGUGUGUAUAUAUCUCAUGUCAUCUGUGAAUAGUGAUAGAUUCACUUCUUUCCAA